rnacentral:rRNA from 1 species
GAACACGUGAAGAAUCUGCCCUCCACUUUGGGAUAACACCGGGAAACCGGUGCUAAUACCGAAUAUUGAAACAUAAGUGGCAUCACUGAGUUUUGAAAGAAUUUCGGUGGAGGAUGACUUCGCGGCCUAUCAGCUAGUUGGUGAGGUAAUGGCUCACCAAGGCAACGACGGGUAGCCGGCCUGAGAGGGCGACCGGCCACACUGGGACUGAGACACGGCCCAGACUCCUACGGGAGGCAGCAGUGGGGAAUAUUGGGCAAUGGAGGAAACUCUGACCCAGCGACGCCGCGUGCGGGAUGAAGGCCUUCGGGUUGUAAACCGCUUUCAGUAGGGAAGAAGCGAAAGUGACGGUACCUACAAAAGAAGCACCGGCUAACUAUGUGCCAGCAGCCGCGGUAAUACAUAGGGUGCAAGCGUUGUCCGGAAUUAUUGGGCGUAAAGAGCUCGUAGGUCGUUUGUUACGUCGGAUGUGAAAACCUGAGGCUCAACCUCAGGCCUGCAUUCGAUACGGGCAAACUAGAGUUUGGUAGGGGAGACUGGAAUUCCUGGUGUAGCGGUGGAAUGCGCAGAUAUCAGGAGGAACACCAAUGGCGAAGGCAGGUCUCUGGGCCAAUACUGACACUGAGGAGCGAAAGUCUGGGGAGCGAACAGGAUUAGAUACCCUGGUAGUCCAGACCGUAAACGGUGGGCACUAGUUGUGGGAACCUUCCACGGUUUCUGCGACGCAGCUAACGCAUUAAGUGCCCCGCCUGGGGAGUACGAUCGCAAG